rnacentral:rRNA from 1 species
CGCUGGCGGCGUGCUUAACACAUGCAAGUCGAACGGGAUCCUGCAAGCUUGCUNGCGGGUGAGAGUGGCGAACGGGUGAGUAAUGCGUGACCAACCUGCCCCAUGCUCCGGAAUAGCUCCUGGAAACGGGUGGUAAUGCCGGAUGUGCCGGGCUCCUGCAUGGGGGUCCGGGAAAGCUCUGGCGGCGUGGGAUGGGGUCGCGUCCUAUCAGCUUGUUGGCGGGGUGAGGGCCCACCAAGGCUUCGACGGGUAGCCGGCCUGAGAGGGCGACCGGCCACAUUGGGACUGAGAUACGGCCCAGACUCCUACGGGAGGCAGCAGUGGGGAAUAUUGCACAAUGGGCGCAAGCCUGAUGCAGCGACGCCGCGUGCGGGAUGGAGGCCUUCGGGUUGUAAACCGCUUUUGUUUGGGAGCAGCCCUUCGGGGUGAGUGUACCUUUCGAAUAAGCACGGCUAACUACGUGCCAGCAGCCGCGG